UUGAUCGAGCAGCUGGGAGGAGAUUGGAGAGAAUCUUAUAGCAAUAGCAAACAAACAAUCCACUGGUUUAUAAGCCCCUUGAGGGCAGAUAUUGGGCCGAUUUACCCUGUGCUCCUCUCAAAUGCUGUGUCCUGUGCCCAGUAAGGAUUCCAUUAAAUACCGUUGAUUGAAGCAGUGUCUUUCCAUCUUCAGAGUCCAAGCCAUGAUUCCUAACCAUUUCUCUUCAGCUCCUAGAGAAGCGCACGCAAGACAACAGCCUCACUGCAUAUGCUCAGAAAGUGGAAAAGGUCUGAUCCGAAUCAGCCCGGAGUCAGGUAGUUGCCAAUCCCAUGGAAGUAAAUGGAGGAGUGGGGGUUCAAACCCCCAGUCUGCUUUCUGAUUCAAUAUUUCAUUCAGCGAUGAAUUCUUGGAACACAGUGUUGAGCGAAAUGCCAGUGUUGCCAACUUGGGGGCCAUGCAAACAGCAGCCCCACCAUCCAGUACUGGAAAUCAGAAACCAUGGCAUGAAGAUAUUACUCAGGCCCUCUGAAAUCACCUUGUUCAUAAACUUGUCCAAGCUGUAUUUUCUACUCCUGAUCCUGCAGCUUUGAAAGACAGGUGGAUGGAAGACUUGGUUGCAUAUGCUCAAAAGAUAGAAGAUGACACAUACAAAUCAACAAAUAGCCGACAAAUCUACUCAGAUGAAGCCAAUGAGUAAAUUCAUCUCCACGUAAAAUGCAAAUUGGCAACUUUAUGGUGUUUCCAGUGACAAUGUAUGGAUCCGAAAGCCAGACAAUGAAAAAGCAGGAUAGAAAGAACAUCGAUUCUUUUGAAAUGUGGUGGUGGAGAAGGCUUUUGCGAAUACCGUGGACUGUCU